rnacentral:lncRNA from 1 species
GCGUGCAUUUCACGCGACCGUUGCGUGCCCCCGACCGUUGGAUCUCGUUCCUUCGGUGACGUGCGCAGCAUAUCGGACGUGUACGCUCUUCGGGAAGCGCCGACCUCUCACCUGCACCCCUGCUGAAGAUCCUCUGGCUCUGUUCCUGGACCGUUCUCCGGCUUCGAGCGAAUAAUCCACUCCAGCCAUGGCUGAGAUGUCUGAGAUGUCAU